GGUGUGUCUAUCACUACUUUGGGAAAUGAGAGUGACAUUGCAGCCAGCAUUCCUCUGCUGGGUCUUUCAGAUUCUGCAUCAAGUGAAAGAACCUGAUGAAGAAACAUGUUCAAAGAUUUUGUGAUACAGCAAUUAAUGUGUUGGCCCAUCUACGACCUAUGAGAGUGUUCCCAUACUUCACUAUUAGGAGUAGCCUCUGAAGAACAGAAGAUAGAAGAAGAUUCCUAGAAGGACAGUCUGCAGUGACUACCUCAAAUGUCCAAAGCUAGGUAUUCAAGACACCUUUCCCUGGAAAAUAUAGAUUGAGAUAGACUGAGCUUCUCUUGCAAUCUCCUUUAC
rnacentral:lncRNA from 11 species